CGGACGGGUGAGUAACGCGUGAGAAUCUGCCUUCAGGAUGGGGACAACAAUUGGAAACGAUUGCUAAUACCCGAUAUGACGAAAGUUGAAAGAUUUAUCGCCUGGAGAUGAGCUCGCGUCAGAUUAGCUAGAUGGUGUGGUAAAGGCGCACCAUGGCGACGAUCUGUAGCUGGUCUGAGAGGAUGAGCAGCCACACUGGGACUGAGACACGGCCCAGACUCCUACGGGAGGCAGCAGUGGGGAAUUUUCCGCAAUGGGCGAAAGUCUGACGGAGCAAUACCGCGUGAGGGAGGAAGGCUCUUGGGUCGUAGACCUCUUUUCUCAAGGAAGAACAAAAUGACGGUACUUGAAGAAUAAGCAUCGGCUAACUCCGUGCCAGCAGCCGCGGUAAUACGGAGGAUGCAAGCGUUAUCCGGAAUGAUUGGGCGUAAAGAGUCCGUAGGUGGUAAUUCAAGUCUGUGGUUAAAGCGUGGAGCUCAACUCCAUAAGGGCCAUGGAAACUGACUAACUAGAGUGAGGUAGGGGUAGAGGGAAUUCUCGGUGUGGCGGUGAAAUGCGUAGAUAUCGGGAAGAACACCGGUGGCGAAAGCGCUCUACUGGACCUUAACUGACACUGAGGGACGAAAGCUAGGGGAGCGAAUGGGAUUAGAUACCCCAGUAGUCCUAGCCGUAAACGAUGGAUACUA
rnacentral:rRNA from 1 species